rnacentral:rRNA from 1 species
UGGGGAAUUUUGCACAAUGGGGGAAACCCUGAUGCAGCGACGCCGCGUGAUUUAGAAGGCCUUCGGGUUGUAAAAAUCUUUUUUACGGGAUGAAAAUGACAGUACCGUAAGAAUAAGGUCCGGCUAACUACGUGCCAGCAGCCGCGGUAAUACGUAGGUCCCGAGCGUUGUCCGGAUUUAUUGGGCGUAAAGCGAGCGCAGGCGGUUAGAUAAGUCUGAAGUUAAAGGCAGUGGCUCAACCAUUGUAGGCUUUGGAAACUGUUUAACUUGAGUGCAGAAGGGGAGAGUGGAAUUCCAUGUGUAGCGGUGAAAUGCGUAGAUAUAUGGAGGAACACCGGUGGCGAAAGCGGCUCGCUGGUCUGUAACUGACGCUGAGGCUCGAAAGCGUGGGGAGCGAACAGG